CAUCUAGUAAUGGUCCAAAACUAUUACAAGAAAUCUUGCAGAAUCAAUUUGAAGGCCUCAGUGGCAAUUUUGACCUUUCAGACAGGCAGCUGCAAAUUUCAACAUUUCAAAUAAUAAAUGUGAUAGGGAAAGGAUGGAGAGAAAUUGGAUUCUGGACUGCACAAAAUGGAAUCUCACAGCAAUUAAAUAAAACCAAACCUGCAACAGCACUUUCGGGCUCAGCGCAUGACCUAUAUCCUGUGAUUUGGCCAGGAGAGUCCACAGAGGUACCCCGGGGUUCUCAGAUUCCUGUAAGCGGGAAGAAACUUCAAGUUGGUGUGUGCACAAGUGGAUAUCCGGAAUUUAUGAAGGUCGAAAAGGAUUAUAUCACAGGUGCAACUAAAGCAAGUGGUUUUUCAGUUGAUCGAAGUAGCGAAGAUUACAAUGAUUUUGUCUACCAAGUUUAUCUUGAGGUAUGAAUACAUACAAGUGUAUUCCCAAUUGAUUUUCUUUAGUUAGUAACAAUUUGAGACCAUGAAGCAUCAUGCACACAUGUCAUUUAACAUGUUAGAGGCAAGAUACCAAAUAUUUUUAUUGGAUGAUGGAUGUUUUGAACUUAUUUCAUGCUGUACUUCAGAACCAUUGCCAUCCUUCUCUGCUUUCGAGCACUGGUCAUAUAAGCUUGUUCCAUUAUCUGUUUUCAGUAGUUUUUGUAAGAAGCCACCUAAAGAUGCCACAUGAUAUUUCGGUGCGUAACACCAGUUACAUGGUAUUAAAAUUCUGACAGCAACAGUAACCCCUUUUAUGAGAGGAGAUAGUACAAACAAUUAUUUUACAUGGCAACAACAUACGAAGCAAGUGCAACUAUCUAUUGAGUGCUACUCUUAAUUAAUUCUUUAUAUUCCGAACUCUAGCACUCUUACCAAAAGGAGACUCAAGGCAGAAACUAUUUUCUAUCAGCAAGCUAACAGUUUUUUUUUUUUUGCCCUUACAGAUAUAUGAUAUAGCAAUUGGAGAUAUAACAAUAAGGUAUAACCGAACUUUCUACGUCGACUUCACUCUGCCAUACACAGAAUCGGGAAUAGCAAUGAUUGUUCCAGUAAGGGAUAGCAUAAACAGGAACACAUGGAUUUUCUUGAAGCCACUAGCACCUGGCAUGUGGUUUGGAAGCGUUGUAUUCUUUAUCUACACCGGUGUGGUCGUAUUGAUAUUGGAAUUUCUAGGAAACAACAAGAAUGUUCGGGGGCCAAUUCCCAGCCAGCUGGGGAUUAUGAUCUUUUUCUCCAUAUUUGAAGGGAGUUGAGUACACUUACCACGAUCUAUCCAUUUCCUAUGUUGGUGCAUAAUAUACAACAUCAAGCUGAGAGGUUUCGUGUGAAGAACUAACAGCCACACAACUAUUAACAAACAUAUAAUGCAUAUGAUAUUUCCCGAACAUAUCUGGGUAACUUUGCAUUUAAAAAAAAACGGUAGCUUCAUCGAUACACUUAUAAUAUUAGAUAUUUAAUAUGCAGUAAACAGAGGAAAAAUAAUUAUCAUAGAAUCAUGUUGUACUAUAACUGACAAAAUAAUAUGAUAUGAAUGUUGCAUUUUUCAACUUUGGACUUGAGAUGGCCAAAAAUUAUCUAAUUUAUUUUAUUGUGACUUCUGCAGAAGAGCUUGUGCAACGCUUUCUGUCCCGGAUAGUUUUGAUCGUUUGGCUAGUAUUUCUGAUGGUGCUUACAUCAAGUUACACUGUGAGCUUGUCAUCAAUGCUAACUGUACAACAGCUUCAGCCAACAGUAACAGAUGUGCAUGAGCUCCUAAAAAGUGGAGAAUGUGUAGGAUAUCAACAUGGCUCAUACGUCAAGGGACUUUUAGAAGAGCUCAGUUUUGACAGGUUGAAGAUCAAGCCCUACGAUCCUGAUGAUUUUCACGAAGCACUUUCCCGAGGAAGCAACAAUGGUGGUAUUGCUGCUCUUGUGCAUGAGGUUCCGUACAUUAAACUAUUCCUGUCAAACCACUGCAAGGGGUACACAAUGGUGGGCCCAAUUUACAAGGCUGCAGGUUUUGGAUAUGUAAGUUUAACUACAUUAGAUAUGCUUCUUUCACACUAUAUACCUACAGAGAAAGUAACUAUAACAAAAUCAAUUGGUUCUCAAAAAAAAGUUAAUUCAACUAGCAAUCACAUAAAUACAUCUGAACAUCCUAUACUAAUUAUCUUGGUCUGAUAACCUACUAAAUUAUGGUUCCUACUGCCUACUAGCAAUCAUGUAUUCAUGUGAUAAGAGGUUAGGGCCAGACAGAUUACUAAAUAGUUUAUAAUGUUUGAUUAAGCUUAUAGAGUUAUACUUUUACCUCAGUCAGAUAAGAUAUGAUUCAGUUUUGAUGGUUGGUGUAAAUGAACAAUAAAAUGACCACAUUUGUUGCACAGGCAUUAUCAAAGGGAAAUCCCUUACUUAGGGACAUCUCAAAUGCAAUCCUCAACGUAACCGGGGGGGAUACUAUGAUCCAAAUUGAGAAGAAAUGGUUUGGGGAUCAAAACAAUUGCCAGAAUGUUGGCCCUCUCACUGGCUCAAGCACACUCACGUUUGCGAACUUCAGGGGACUAUUCAUACUUACUGGAGUUGCUUCAACUUCUUCCCUUUUGAUUGCAUUGAUAAUUUAUUUCUACAAAAAGAAGCACAAGUCAACAAAGAUCAUGUUAGACAAUACAAAUCGACCAGAAGAAAAUGGAAUAAAUGAGGAAAACAGUGAGCUGCAAGAAGGAAAUCAAGACUCAACAAGAGUUGAACAAAAUACACAGCGAGCAGGCCAAGAGGAAAAUGGGCUAGAACAGCAAACCAGUUUAGAACUGGCACCUGAGACAACCAUAGUUAUGUCCAGCAAUGGGUCAACUGUCAUUUCCAGGGGUAAAAGAACUACUGGCCUGCAAGUGGAGCUCAUGUGAAGUUCAAUACAUUUUUAAGAUCCUCUGUUCUCACAGUGAGCUUAGCUAAGAGUUAUUUGCGGCAGGGUUUUAAUUUGUAACCACUUAGAACUGCAGAAUCUCAUUUUAUUUGAUUGGAUACCAAUCUCAUGUUUUUCUCAAAUACAGCUUGAAUAAACCCCCAUCCAUUUUGCAUUUUCAAACUGACCAGUUGCAUUUUUAUAGCAGGCUUACUUUUGCCAUAACUCCCUUAUGAUUCCUGCAAUUUAAAUAAAUUACGUAUAUGUAUGUGGCAUGUUUUUUGGUACUAGCACAAUGCUCAUGCAUUGCUAUGAAACUGCAAAUAUGAGGACUUAUGUCACUGGCUUAGGAAGUUGUCAAAAUAUGUUGGUGUCCUGCGGUCUUUGCACGCGGUUCACGAUUAAAAAGAGCGAAAAUACAAUGAAAGAUCAUGCAGCAGGCAUUGGAGAAUCUUAAGCGAUCAUAGUAGGUCCUUUGCAAGACAUAACAUUGGGCAUUAAUAUGUUGACCGCACAAGUUCAUGGAUCGGGUUCGGGUAGGAGGGCAAGGUCUAUCGUCGCUUUGGAAUUACAAUUUGUUCACUCUCUUGUCCUGUGAUAUAGAACUUGAAGAACUUGGUUGGGAAAAGAAACUGAAAACAAGAGCACAUUUGUUAUUUGUGUCAUCUAUAAGUGUUGGUGUCACAUAAAAGUAGUAGUGUAUUUGUUUAUUUGUGUUAGUUCCCACAUGUGACUAAAAGCACAUUUGUUUAUGUAUGUAUCUUCGAAGGUUGCUAGUCCCACAUGUGGGUAGGCAUGCAUUUGUUUAUUGACAAAGAUUGUUGGUCUCACAUGUGAACUCACCACCAACUCCAACCUUUGUAAGAGCAUCUCUAGCCGAUCCCCUAAAUUUUAGAGGAGUAAAUGGCCGUGUAAACCUUAGUGGAGUAUUUUUACUCCUCUAAGUUUUGGUCGUUUCUAGCCGAUCCCCUAAAUUCAGAGUAAAAUUUUGUUUUUAUCAAAUUCAUUUAAUUUCCGGCAACCGAAAUAAACUUCUCUUAUAUUACUUUAUUAAACGACAUGAUGGUUACACAUUUCACCAAGUCUUCUCUAAGAGAACCGACCAAAGAAAACUACAAGAAUAAUUAGACACUUUAAUAGAAAUCCAAGUGCCCUAACUGCUCCCACUGGUUCGUUUAAUACUUUCUCUAUAUCUUCAGUGCCCACAUUAUUGCUUUUCGCUAUCGACUUCUUGAGCUUGCACACUUUGUUCUUCUCCGCCUACACACAAUUGGACAUCGCGUCGUCUCUAUAGUCUCAACUCUAGCAAGUAGUGUACGAACAUCUAGCAAAUUUCUCCCUACCAAUAGAUUGAUGUAUUCUUCUUCCCAAUACCAAAACUUGCAUCCUUCCUACAUACAAUUUUGAGCAAACAAUAAGUCCCAAAUUGCGACGAAUCUGAAGAAAACCACAAAAUAGCCACUCACCCCGUUGUUUUCGCAUUUGAAGAACACUCAUCCAGGAUGUUUCGGCGUGCUUGAAACUCGGCGCAGCACCAGCCGCGGGUAGUGGUCACACUUGAUGACCGGCAGCAGCGAGCCGACGAGUCGCUGGACUAGUGCUGAGCCCAGGCGACGGCCAGACAUGGCUCUGCCGUUGGUAGGUUGAUGAGUGAGAUCCGAGCGCCGAGAGGACAUACCGAGAUGCGGCGCAGAGUGGUUGAGGGGGCUGCGUGGUUCAGUCCCCGUCGGAUCCAUCGAAAACGUGAUGGCGCCGGCGGCUGGGAUGCAUCGAAUCCGCCGCCGAUGACGAGGGGCCAUAGAUCUGCCGACUUAGGUGCCGUUGGCGGCGAGAGAGGACGAAAUCCGGGUGGGGGAGGAGCGCGGUGGGUCCUCCGGGGGCCAGCGGUGGCGCGUGGUUGCCGACGGAGUAGAUGCGGCGGGGGGUGGGGUUGGUGAGGCCGAGGGAAGAGGGGGGCUGCUUUUGCUUGGGCAGCUGGACGGCCAAGUAAAAAUAGGAGCCCGCAGUGCCGAGGAGCUCUAUUCGGUUUAUGACUUUGGCUAGGUGCCGGUUAGAGGUCUAAACUUCGGCUAGGUGCUCGGGCGGCUGGGCGGCCAAGUAACCGGUUUUAGAGGAUCGGCUAGAGAUGCCCUAAGUAGGAAUAGGAAAGAAGGAAGGAUACCUAUUUCACAGAUCCAAGCAAAAAUCUUCUAUAGUUGGAUCAAGUACACAAGUGAUGCGGUUUCAUGAUAUAUUGAUUGAAUCCCAUUCAUCCUCUAUGAGAUCAUAGGCCAAUAACCUCCAGUCAGAACAGGUUAUUAGGUUACUACGUUGAGAUGGUGAAUGAUAGCAUGCAUCCUAGCUGAAGUAGUAACCUAGUAGUAGAUGCAUACCUUCUUACAGGAACUUAUCCUUCACAAUGGAGACUUUCUAGCUGAUCAGAAUUGAAGAUAUCGUUUUGCUCAAGUUGUUAAUCUUUAAUCUUUAUAGAGAGAGGAUCCAACAAUGCGAUUAACUAGCGAAUCCCUCUAGCGCUUCAAUUGGGACACAGGCAGGGUUAAGAAGUACAGUUGCUCUGGCAGCGGCACUACCAAAGGCUGUCUCGGUGUACCAUUCCUGCAGAAACAAACACCCAUACACAUAAGACCACAAGCCUUCACGCAUACAUCACCAGCUCCGAUCACGCUGCAGGUGGAAGCGGGAAUAAGUGGGACUAGAGUUCCCAUCCCACUUAAAACGCCUUAGUGGGAGCCCGUUGGACAAGAAAGAAAUUAAGUGGGCUAGCCCCUUUAGCCCACUGGAACCCCACUUUUACCCUAUUAGUCCAUCCCGAUAGCUUCUGGUACAGGGAGGGCGGCGCCGCAGCGUACUCCCACCGCCGCCGCCGAUCGAUGGCAGCCGCCGCUGCACGGCUGCCUCUUCCUCCUCGCACCCCGCCUCUUCCGGCUCGCACCUAGCCCCUCCCCUACCUCGCAGCUUCUCCCUACUCCGCCUCACCGCUGUUCCAAUCAAGAAUUCGACGAAACCCUCGACCCUGGCCGGACGCGAUGGGCAGGUCCCCGGCAGCCCCAACCCCGACCCCCAGGUCGCCGGCAGCCCAACCCCGACCCCCAAGGCGCCGGAUGUCCCAACCCCGGACCCCAAGGUGCCGGAUGCGUCAAUCCCGGUGCCCAAGGUGCCGGAUGCGUCGUUGGCAGCAGGUGAUCCAUCAGAUUGAAGAUACUUGCUUGAUUCUUUACUUGAUUCAGUGUAUGAUGCUUGUUAGAGAUUUCCUCUACAUCACAUUCAGUGUAUGAAAUGUUUCCUUACUUGAUUCUUUGCUUUCCUGGGGUAAUUUAUUAACUCAUUAGGACAUGGAUGAUGACUGAUCUUUCAUUGUAUUGAUGUGAAGUACUAAUUGAGGUUCAGAGGUUGCAAUUUGAAAUUUAUGCAAUUCAGGCGAAAUUUUUGUAUAAUAACUUUGCAGAAUGAAAUGAGAUAGAUACUAUCUACGUCGGCUUCGGAAACAUAUAUUCUCCUGAAAUAAUAUCACUAUACUUUUGGUCUUCAAAUGAAAUUUGAGGCUUUUAAGUGAUGUAGUUUAUAAAUCAUCUUCUAUAUCAUGUGUUUCGUGUUGCUACAUGCACAAAAAUCACACAUGAGCCAUAUGACUCCAAGUGCAAUAUUACUGACUAUCUAGCUAGGGGAGGCCAUAAAACUGGUAGAGAUACAUAUACGCGCAUUUGCACGGGCCACUUUGCUACUUACUGUUACAAGAAAAUCAUCAUUCACAAUUGAAGCAAUUUCAUGAGUUCGUUUAUUUUGAAUUAGAGGUCAAGAUUUAGUUUAUGUGCGACAAAUAUUUUGUGUGUGCGGAAUAAAUGGCAAAUCUCGUGGUGGGGAGUUUCUUUUCUUUGGUUUGUUUCCAAUUUUUCUUACAAAAUGGUACUGUGUAGGAUCUCGUGGUGGGGAGCUGCUCCGAGUAAUCAAGCUCGUUGAGUGACAGAACAGCACCUGGUGGAGAAGCAGGACUGCACGGUGCCGGUCGCCGACAUCGGGUACAACGCCGGGGCCUUGGCCGGCUUCCCCCUAUCCGGGCUGCCCCCCUGCUCGCUGAGGGCCCUCCGUAGUGA
rnacentral:lncRNA from 1 species